CAGCAGCCACGGGAAUACGAAGGGGGCUAGCGUUGCUCGGAAUGACUGGGCGUAAAGGGCGCGUAGGCGGAUUGUUUAGUUAGGCGUGAAAUUCCUGGGCUUAACCUGGGGACUGCGCUUAAUACAGGCAGUCUAGAGUGAGGAAGAGGGUUGUGGAAUUCCCAGUGUAGAGGUGAAAUUCGUAGAUAUUGGGAAGAACACCGGUGGCGAAGGCGGCAACCUGGUCCUUGACUGACGCUGAGGCGCGAAAGCGUGGGGAGCAAACAGGAUUAGAUACCCCAGUAGUCCCUGUCUCUUAUAC
rnacentral:rRNA from 1 species